rnacentral:rRNA from 1 species
UGUGAGGUUAAGCGACUAAGCGUACACGGUGGAUGCCCUGGCAGUCAGAGGCGAUGAAGGACGUGCUAAUCUGCGAAAAGCGUCGGUAAGGUGAUAUGAACCGUUAUAACCGGCGAUGUCCGAAUGGGGAAACCCAGUGCAAUUCGUUGCACUAUCGUUAACUGAAUACAUAGGUUAACGAGGCGAACCGGGGGAACUGAAACAUCUAAGUACCCCGAGGAAAGAAAUCAACCGAGAUUCCCCCAGUAGCGGCGAGCGAACGGGGAGCAGCCCAGAGUCUGAAUCAGCUUGUGUUAGUGGAACGGUCUGGAAAGUCCGACGGUACAGGGUGAUAGUCCCGUACACCAAAAUGCACAGGCUGUGAACUCGAAGAGUAGGGCGGGACACGUGGUAUCCUGUCUGAAUAUGGGGGACCAUCCUCCAAGGCUAAAUACUCCUGACUGACCGAUAGUGAACCAGUACCGUGAGGGAAAGGCGAAAAGAACCCCGGCGAGGGGAGUGAAAAAGAACCUGAAACCGUGUACGUACAAGCAGUGGGAGCACCUUCGGGUGUGACUGCGUACCUUUUGUAUAAUGGGUCAGCGACUUAUAUUCUGUAGCAAGGUUAACCGUAUAGGGGAGCCGCAGGGAAACCGAGUCUUAACUGGGCGUUAAGUUGCAGGGUAUAGACCCGAAACCCGGUGAUCUAGCCAUGGGCAGGUUGAAGGUUGGGUAACACUAACUGGAGGACCGAACCGACUAAUGUUGAAAAAUUAGCGGAUGACUUGUGGCUGGGGGUGAAAGGCCAAUCAAACCGGGAGAUAGCUGGUUCUCCCCGAAAGCUAUUUAGGUAGCGCCUCGUGAAUUCAUCUUCGGGGGUAGAGCACUGUUUCGGCUAGGGGGUCAUCCCGACUUACCAACCCGAUGCAAACUACGAAUACCGAAGAAUGUUAUCACGGGAGACACACGGCGGGUGCUAACGUCCGUCGUGAAGAGGGAAACAACCCAGACCGCCAGCUAAGGUCCCAAAGUCAUGGUUAAGUGGGAAACGAUGUGGGAAGGCACAGACAGCCAGGAUGUUGGCUUAGAAGCAGCCAUCAUUUAAAGAAAGCGUAAUAGCUCACUGGUCGAGUCGGCCUGCGCGGAAGAUGUAACGGGGCUAAACCAUGCACCGAAGCUGCGGCAGCGACACUAUGUGUUGUUGGGUAGGGGAGCGUUCUGUAAGCCUGCGAAGGUGACCUGUGAGGGUUGCUGGAGGUAUCAGAAGUGCGAAUGCUGACAUAAGUAACGAUAAAGCGGGUGAAAAGCCCGCUCGCCGGAAGACCAAGGGUUCCUGUCCAACGUUAAUCGGGGCAGGGUGAGUCGACCCCUAAGGCGAGGCCGAAAGGCGUAGUCGAUGGGAAACAGGUUAAUAUUCCUGUACUUGGUGUUACUGCGAAGGGGGGACGGAGAAGGCUAUGUUAGCCGGGCGACGGUUGUCCCGGUUUAAGCAUGUAGGCUGGUUAUCCAGGCAAAUCCGGAUAAUCAAGGCUGAGGUGUGAUGACGAGGCACUACGGUGCUGAAGUAACAAAUGCCCUGCUUCCAGGAAAAGCCUCUAAGCAUCAGGUAACAUCAAAUCGUACCCCAAACCGACACAGGUGGUCAGGUAGAGAAUACCAAGGCGCUUGAGAGAACUCGGGUGAAGGAACUAGGCAAAAUGGUGCCGUAACUUCGGGAGAAGGCACGCUGGUGUGUAGGUGAAGUCCCUGCGGAUGGAGCUGAGACCAGUCGAAGAUACCAGCUGGCUGCAACUGUUUAUUAAAAACACAGCACUGUGCAAACACGAAAGUGGACGUAUACGGUGUGACGCCUGCCCGGUGCCGGAAGGUUAAUUGAUGGGGUUAUCCGUAAGGAGAAGCUCUUGAUCGAAGCCCCGGUAAACGGCGGCCGUAACUAUAACGGUCCUAAGGUAGCGAAAUUCCUUGUCGGGUAAGUUCCGACCUGCACGAAUGGCGUAAUGAUGGCCAGGCUGUCUCCACCCGAGACUCAGUGAAAUUGAACUCGCUGUGAAGAUGCAGUGUACCCGCGGCAAGACGGAAAGACCCCGUGAACCUUUACUAUAGCUUGACACUGAACAUUGAGCCUUGAUGUGUAGGAUAGGUGGGAGGCUUUGAAGCGUGGACGCCAGUCUGCGUGGAGCCAACCUUGAAAUACCACCCUUUAAUGUUUGAUGUUCUAACGUUGGCCCCUUACCGGGGUUGCGGACAGUGUCUGGUGGGUAGUUUGACUGGGGCGGUCUCCUCCCAAAGCGUAACGGAGGAGCACGAAGGUUAGCUAAUCCUGGUCGGACAUCAGGAGGUUAGUGCAAUGGCAUAAGCUAGCUUGACUGCGAGCGUGACGGCGCGAGCAGGUGCGAAAGCAGGUCAUAGUGAUCCGGUGGUUCUGAAUGGAAGGGCCAUCGCUCAACGGAUAAAAGGUACUCCGGGGAUAACAGGCUGAUACCGCCCAAGAGUUCAUAUCGACGGCGGUGUUUGGCACCUCGAUGUCGGCUCAUCACAUCCUGGGGCUGAAGUAGGUCCCAAGGGUAUGGCUGUUCGCCAUUUAAAGUGGUACGCGAGCUGGGUUUAGAACGUCGUGAGACAGUUCGGUCCCUAUCUGCCGUGGGCGCUGGAGAAUUGAGGGGGGCUGCUCCUAGUACGAGAGGACCGGAGUGGACGCAUCACUGGUGUUCGGGUUGUCAUGCCAAUGGCACUGCCCGGUAGCUAAAUGCGGAAGAGAUAAGUGCUGAAAGCAUCUAAGCACGAAACUUGCCCCGAGAUGAGUUCUCCCUGAGACUUUAAGUCUCCUGAAGGAACGUUAAAGACGAUGACGUUGAUAGGCCGGGUGUGUAAGCGCAGCGAUGCGUUGAGCUAACCGGUACUAAUGAACCGUGAGGCUUAACCUUACAACGCCGAAG